GUAGUUUUUGGUCGUUUGCCUGGAAACGGCAUUUACUUCCGCUAAAUUUUUCCGAUAAAUGUAAACACCAGCGAAUUGUGUAUUUUCUACAAAAUGAUACACCAAAAUGGGUAGUUGCAGUAAAAGUACUGAUAUAGAUUUACAUCUUAUUUGUUUAUUGUGACUACAACUCGCCGGGGAAAGGGGGAGUAGCUCGUAUGUUGGGAUUUUUUGGCAAAAAAAUGAGGUGACACUUGCUACUUAAUUGGAAACUUUUAAUGUUCACACGUGAGCAUACGGAUUAGUGAACUAAUUAAGGUGGCUAUUUGGAAGAAUUCGAUUAAUAUGUGAUAAACUACACAACACUAAUGUACUACCGGUGAUGUGUAGGUAGGAGUUGAUACAGUUUGUGUACGGUUCAGCGACACAGUUUUAUUCUGUGUAAGCCAAAAUUCGUUUGAAAUGCAGUAAUUUGCACAGCUGUAGUCUUUAUUAUGAAAUGUAUUGAUGUUUAAUUAAGAACAAACCAUAGUAUAUGCUAGAAUUUUGUUGUUUCCAUUGCGGACAAUUAGAUUUAUGCAGUGAUGGUUGUAUUGUGUAAUACAGGAAGACCCAGGUCAGUAUUUGGCUGUAUCUCUUUUAUUCAGUAUGAACUGGAACUUUUAUACAAGGUUAGCAACGGUAGUUUUAAAAUGAUUACGUGAAAAGCGGGCGUAUCAUGAUUACCAAAGCCAGUACGUUUUUGCUACUUUUAAUAUCAUUGUACAUAUUUUCAUCAUUACUACAAAGUAAAAUGUUCGAAAACUC
rnacentral:lncRNA from 1 species